rnacentral:lncRNA from 1 species
AGUCGUGGCAGUACGCGAAGCAUCAGAGUUGCGGUUCUGUCCUUAUAUACUGGGACUGACGACUUAGGAUGGAGCGGUGGACAAAUUGUACUGGCUAGCAUAUACUAAAUAAAGGCUACAGAAUUUUAUUAAAAAAUAUAAAUAAAGGCUACAGGAAAGAACGAGAAUACCGCAUACGUGAUUGAAUUUAUGAGUGCGAGAGUGACGUUUUUUCUAGCGCCUGAUUUUGAUUGGGAGCUGGGAAAACAGCAACGGAAAAGUGAUGAAAAUGCCCGUACUUGCAGUUUAAUUCCUCAGCUCUGGAUAAAACCAUAUUGUGCCACGUCAGAUCAAUUAUCUUAAGAUAAACAGAAAAAAUGUCGUGCCACGUAAGGCGUAAGAGAGGGAGAGUGGACCGGCGUGACCAAUUGGCUUGUCGUUCAUAAUGUCCCAAAGGAAAGGAAAGUGAGUCGAUUAACA